rnacentral:lncRNA from 1 species
CUUAGACGGUUUGAAGAGGUUCAUUUCAUUCUCUUGGUUUUCUUCUCUGAGUCUCUGGCAUUUUUUGGUCUCUGUAAUAUCGUCACCUUCGGUUUUCAAAUCUGUAGUUCAUUCUUUGUUGUAAAUCAGAUAUUGACCUUGAUUUGUGGCCUUUGGUUUGUUGUAAUCUCAGGCUUGUGUUGUGGCCUGUGUAUAGUGUUCAUGACAGGAAGUUUAGAGGCUUCUUUAAGUUGGUUUUGCGCUGUAAAGAACUAUUCUACUCUUGUGCCAGUUAGGUGGUGUUAUUGUGAGACCUGUUAUAGAUCGAUGAUCUACUAAUUAGGUCAGUGAUCUGAUUGUCGUACUCUAAACUUAAUCUCUCUCUUGAGAGGUUCUUAAAUAUAGUGAUGGGUUUUUACGUCUGAGUCCCCCGAGUAGGCUUUGUCAAAUUGGUUGAGCAUUUCUUGUGUUGAUUAUUACUGUUUUCGUGGGUCUAUGUUUCAAUUUUCUGAAUAUUGCUUCGGUUGGGUGGCAAAAUCCCAAUAAACUGGUAUCGGAGUCUGGUGAGGCGUGGGUAAGGCAUCUAUGAAAUUUGAUUUAAAGUUAUUGAUCUAUGCAAUACCAAUAACUCGAACUGAACGGAAUAUUCGGUUCUGAAAUCAGCACUGGAGUUUGGUUGAAUAUUUUUAUACACUAUUUGGUGAGAUUGUUCCUAUACAAAUUUACAGACAUUGAUUUGCGUGAUUUAAUUAUUAAUAUGUGAAUCUAUUGAUACUGUGAUUUGUUUUAUUCAAGAAUUGGAU